rnacentral:rRNA from 1 species
GCGCAGCAGGCGAGAAUUUUUCACAAUGGGGGCAACCCUGAUGGAGCGACGCCGCGUGGAGGAUGAAGGCUUUCGGGUUGUAAACUCCUGUCAUUUGAGAACAAGUGUAGCCAACUAACUAUUGGCUACUUGAUAGUAUCAGAAGAGGAAGGGACGGCUAACUCUGUGCCAGCAGCCGCGGUAAUACAGAGGUCCCAAGCGUUGUUCGGAUUCAUUGGGCGUAAAGGGUGCGUAGGUGGCGCCGUAAGUGGGGUGUGAAAUUUCGGAGCUUAACUCCGGAACUGCAUUCCAUACUGCGGUGCUUGAGGACUGGAGAGGAGACUGGAAUUCAUGGUGUAGCAGUGAAAUGCGUAGAGAUCAUGAGGAAGACCAGUGGCGAAGGCGGGUCUCUGGACAGUUCCUGACACUGAGGCACGAAGGCUAGGGAGGCGAACGGGAUUAGAUACCCCCGUAGU